rnacentral:misc_RNA from 1 species
GAUGAAGAACGCAGCGAAAUGCGAUACUUGGUGUGAAUUGCAGAAUCCCGUGAACCAUCGAGUCUUUGAACGCAAGUUGCGCCUCAAGCCAUUAGGUUGAGGGCACGUCUGCCUGGGCGUCACAUAUCGUUGCCUGAUGCCAGUUUCCUCGUGAUGGGACUGUGCAGGGCGAAUGAUGGCUUCCCGUGAGCAUUGUUGCCUCAUGGUUGGUUGAAAAUUGAGUCCUUGGUAGGGAGCGCCGUGAUAGAUGGUGGUUGAGUGACGAACGAGACCCAAUCAUGUGAGACCCCUACCGAAUUUGGCCUUCAUGACCCACAUGCGUCUUUGGAACGCUCAUGACGAGACCUCAGGUCAGGCGGGGCUACCCGCUGAGUUUAAGCAUAUCAAUAAGCGGAGGA